GGGCCCUUAGCUCAGUUGGUUAGAGCAGAGGACUCAUAAUCCUUUGGUCGUUGGUUCAAGUCCAACAGGGCCCA
rnacentral:tRNA from 1 species